rnacentral:rRNA from 1 species
UACGGAGGGUGCAAGCGUUAUCCGGAUUCACUGGGUUUAAAGGGUGUGUAGGCGGAUAUUUAAGUCAGUGGUGAAAUCUCAAGGCUCAACCUUGAAACUGCCAUUGAUACUAUUUAUCUUGAAUAUCGUUGAGGUAGGCGGAAUAUGUCAUGUAGCGGUGAAAUGCUUAGAUAUGACAUAGAACACCGAUUGCGAAGGCAGCUUACUAAACGAUGAUUGACGCUGAGGCACGAAAGCGUGGGGAUCAAACAGG